rnacentral:lncRNA from 1 species
GCCGGGCAGGAGGGCAGAGGCUCAGGGCUGGUGUGACCUCUUCUUCCAGACCCAGUCCCCCUUCUCUGCCUCUUCCCUCUCCAAUCCCAGAGACUUGGCCCCUGUACCUCAUCCCAGGCCUGCCCAGGGGGACCUAGGGGUCAGAGGCGGAUGGCCUGGCUCCUGGCCCCUAGUCUUGUGUCUGCUGGGGCUUCCUGCUCG